UGUCAUACACGUGAAUCAUUACUUCCCGCAAUUUCAAAAUUUAGGGAAAAAAUAAUAUGUCAAAAAAUUAAAACCUUAUUUUCGGCUUUUUCGCCCUCUCUCUCUCCUAACCCUAACCCUAACCCUAACCCAGAAAAAACCAGAGAAGAUGAAGUGUUGCACUCUCCGGCAACCUCCGCAGCAAGUACAACGUCCGAUUAAUGCCGUGCUCAAAGCCAACAAGGUCCAGGUUGUUUGUGUUCAAUUACUUUUGAUUCAGAUGCAAUGGAUUUAACUCUCGUUUUGGCUUUUCGCCCUCUCUCUUUCCUCUUCUUCAACCUCCGUCUUCUGCAAUUUCUACCGUCGUCGUAUUGAAAUCUAGGGUUUCUUUCUCCGGCAAUGGCGUUUGAGUAGGCUGUGAAGUUUCAGUUUGAUCAUUAGAUAAGGCUGUUGUUUGUCAAACUUUUAAUUAGGGUCGCUGUUCGUUUUUGAUUUUUAUUUUAUUUUUUCAUCUUUUGAAGUUGAUUUUUAGUUGAUUUUUGUGUUUGUUUUCGUACUUUUAAGGUUUGUUAUGUGUUGUUGAUAUUGAUAGCUAUUUCGAUCAAUGAAGAGGAUAAAUUUGGGCAGAAAUUAGCUGGAUCAACGUCAUAGGUCUAUGGAAGAAGAAAUGGAGCCUUUCAUGAAGAUGAAUUGAAACAGUAUGAUGGUACUGACCCUAAGAAGCCUUUGCUUAUGGCUAUUAAGGGCCAGAUCUAUGAUGUUUCUCAGAGCAGCCUUGUUCAGCAUCUGGAUUCGCACAGAUUGUAUGCUCUUACUGUACUUUUGCAGCAAAAGAAGGGGGAAAUAACGCUAUAACGCUCAGUUGAUAUGCAUUUGUUCAAAUGUCCGAACAUUGCAAGAUGUUCCCUCAUCUUAGAAGUUUCAAUGUGUAAAGGGUGAUAUGAUUCAAACAUUUCCCUUUGUUCUAUAUAUAUAGUUGCAAUGCAAUAUCUGAAAUAUGGAGUAGUGGAUUUGACAGAUGUCUUCAUUUGCCUAUAGUAUUCUUAUAGGAAUAUUUUUAUAGUUUAUUUCAAUUCCUAGAUAAUCAUUAAAAGUAGAUGAGAAGGGUGAUAUUUACAUCUAUUGGGUGGUUCUAUUGGAGCAGUACUAUUAUAUCUAUUUUGCAAGUAUUAUCUUGUUUAACUUCGAUACAAGAAAUAUUACACAAAUUAUAAUGUUAAUAGUAAAAAAUUAAAUAAACCCUAAUACUAAGUUGGCUGGAUAAAAACUGCUAUGCUUAAUUGCUAUGUACGUCUUAGCUUUUGUACUGCCACUUGAUGAUGCUCAUGACUUUUAUGUGCAAGCAGGUGAGGGGUGUUAAGCCAGGCAGAGUUCAUGUGUGAAGCUAGGGAUGGGGGCAGUCAGGGAUGGAAUAAAAGUGCAGUUUGGGGAUGAGUUAAGUGUGCAAGCAGGGGAAAGGUGUGUAGGCAGGGAGAGGGCACGUGUGCCACAAGGGGGGGAAGUGUGCAAGUAAGGGGGCAGGCGAGGAGGGGAGCAGUGUGCAGACAGACAAUGAGGUAGUGUGCAAGCAGGGUAGGGGGGCAGGUGUGUAGGCAGGGAGAGGGAAGGUUUACACUCAGGGAGAGGGAGGUUGGUUGUGAAAAUUCAGUUGGAUUUUAAAUUUCUUUUUAAAAGGAGUGGUGUCUGUGUGGUUUCAAUUCAUUUGUAUAUAUGACUAUUUGUAUUAUGUUAUAUACUUAUUUUUUUUUUUUU